AACGAACGCUGGCGGCAGGCCCAAAACAUGCAAGUCGAACGCUCUAGCAAUAGAGAGUGGCGCACGGGUGAGUAACAUGUGGGAAUAUGCCUCUUGGUACGGAACAACUUUUGGAAACGAAAGCUAAUACCGUAUGGUCCCUUCGGGUAAAGAUUUAUCGCCAAGAGAGUAGCCCGCACUAGAUUAGCUAGUUGGUAAGGUAAUGGCUUACCAAGGCGACGAUCUAUAGCUGGCUGAGAGGACGAUCAGCCACACGUGGGACUGAGACACGGCCCAGACUCCUACGGGAGGCAGCAGGUUAGGAAUCUUGGACAAGUGGGCNCAAGCCUGAUCCAGCCAUGCCGCGUGAGUGAU
rnacentral:rRNA from 1 species